UACAGAGGUCUCAAGCGUUGUCCGGAAUUAUUGGGCGUAAAGAGCUCGUAGGCGGUCUGUUACGUCUGCUGUGAAAACCCAGGGCUUAACCCUGGGCUUGCAGUGGAUACGGGCAGACUAGAGGCAGGUAGGGGAGAAUGGAAUUCCCGGUGUAGCGGUGAAAUGCGCAGAUAUCGGGAGGAACACCGGUGGCGAAGGCGGUUCUCUGGGCCUGACCUGACGCUGAGGAGCGAAAGCGUGGGGAGCGAACAGG
rnacentral:rRNA from 1 species